rnacentral:ncRNA from 2 species
UAGCGACGCUCUGGAAAGUGUCCUUGCCGCAAGGCGGGGGCCGCCGAAGGGGUAACCUUGCCAGUCCAUGCGGGCGGCGGGGGAAAGCUCUCAGGUUUCCGUGACAGAGGGGGCACC